UACGGGGGGGGCAAGCGUUGUUCGGAAUUACUGGGCGUAAAGGGCUCGUAGGCGGCCAACUAAGUCAGACGUGAAAUCCCUCGGCUUAACCGGGGAACUGCGUCUGAUACUGGAUGGCUUGAGGUUGGGAGAGGGAUGCGGAAUUCCAGGUGUAGCGGUGAAAUGCGUAGAUAUCAGUCGGAACACCGGUGGCGAAGGCGGCUUCUUGGGCCUUUACUGACGCUGAGGCGCGAAAGCCAGGGGAGCGAACGGG
rnacentral:rRNA from 1 species